UCCCAGGUGGCUCAGUGGUAAAGAAUCUGCCUUCCAAGCAGGAGACGUGGGUACCAUCCCUGGGUC
rnacentral:tRNA from 1 species